GACGUAGGGCGCGAGCGUUGUCCGGAUUUAUUGGGCGUAAAGAGCUCGUAGGCGGUUUGUCGCGUCUGCUGUGAAAACCCGAGGCUCAACCUCGGGCCUGCAGUGGGUACGGGCAGACUAGAGUGCGGUAGGGGAGAUUGGAAUUCCUGGUGUAGCGGUGGAAUGCGCAGAUAUCAGGAGGAACACCGAUGGCGAAGGCAGAUCUCUGGGCCGUAACUGACGCUGAGGAGCGAAAGCAUGGGUAGCGAACAGG
rnacentral:rRNA from 1 species